rnacentral:lncRNA from 1 species
GCCCUGGACGGGUGAAGACAGCGCACCUCCAAGGUAUGCCUCGGAGAGAAGCAUUUUAAAUCUUCUGAAACGAGAUGCAGACAGACAAAACGAAACAGGACAAAGACGUCACUGAGGGCACUGCCAACACUUCUGGAGCUUGUCCUGAAGAGCCAUUCGUGUGCUUGGACUGAUCUCCCGUCUUGUGCUCUUGGCAUUGGUGCAGGAUCCUGCAUGUACAUUUGCAGGGGCAAGGCAAGGGAUGAAGAGAACUGACCUACCAUGUGCCUCCUUGGCAUCAGACACACCCCUGGACACUUGCUCUAUGUCACCUCUUCUGAAUCUUCACCAUGAUCCUGUAAGCCGGGUAGCAUUAGCUGCACUGUAUUGAUAAGGAAACUGAAGCUCACAAAGACGAAAUGCUUGCCAACAAUCUCACAUCUAGGAAGUGGUACCAAGCUGGGAUUGAGACUUGAGCCCAUGAGACUUUAAAGCUCCCUCUCAAUUUUCUUUGGGGAUGUGUAUAUAGGUGGGGAAGCUAUACAGAAAAUAAAAAAAAUCUUUAUAUAAAAGCUGGGGGGUCCAGACAUGGUGGCUCACACCUGUAAUAAUCCUAGCACUUUCGGGGCUGAAGCAAAAUGUUUGCUUGAACCCAGACAUUCAAGACAAGCCUGGGCAAUAUAACAAGACCUCAUCUCCACAAAAAUAAAAAAAAAAAAUAAUAAAAAAAACAGCUGGGCAUGGUGGCUUAUACCUGUAGUCCCACCUACUUGGGAGGCUGAGGUGGGAGGAUUGUUUGAGCCCAGGAGGUCGAGGCUGCAGUGAGCCAACAUCAUGUCACCACACUCCAGCCUGGGGGAUAGAGGGAGACCCUGACUCAAAUAAAUACAUAAAUACAAUAAAAUAAAAAUAAAUAAAUAAAAACUGGGGGAGGGUUCUGUUUCCCUCUGGGGGAGGGAGAGAAUUUUAAUCUAGAGGGGAUACUCAGAGACUCCUGGAGUCCUCACUCACAAUAUUUCAUUUUUAAUCUGGGUGGUGGUUACACAGGGUGUUCAUGUUGUAAAUAAUCCUUUAGACUAUCCAUACAUGUUUUAUGGACUUUUGUGCACCUCACCGAUAUCUUACAAUAACAAAUUACAAACAAAAAAGAGUCCCUAUUAUUUUUGCAUCCAGUGAUUUCUUCAGUAUAUCACCAGAACGGCAUCUGAAAUGACUGUGUCAGACACCAGAGUACAACCUGGUAAGAAAUGCAUGCAAUCAUGAGAUUUCUGCGUUUUUUUUUGCAUUUUAUUGCUCCCAGCAAAAGUUAAAUUUUACAAUAACAGUAAAAAUAUACUAGUUAAAACUCAAGCGAUUGAUAUGUAUCUAUUGAGGUCCUUGUAUACAAUAUUCUAGGUGCCAUGGAGGUUACAAAGGUGUCCUUGCCUUUUGGAUCUCAGGAUCACCUUGAGGAGGAGGCAAGACAGAGACACAGAAUGAGAGAAUUAACUAAGUGAGGUCAACAAAUAAUGAGUGGUACAGAGAGGAAGUGCGACAGAAAUCCACGUGUCUAAGCUUCGCAGAGGGGAGAGAAUUUCAUUGAGGCUUGAAGGAUGUAUGAACUUCAGACAGGUCAAGAGGAAGCAGAAUUACAAGCACAAAGACAUAGUAAUGAGAAGAGGCUCGCUGUCUUGCAGAGACUAAUGUUGACCAGUUUGGAGUGGGGAACUCACAAUGGGAAAUUAUAAGAGAUAGGCUUAAAAGAGAACUUGACCUCCAAAACCUUGUGUGAUCUGGCCCAAACUUUGUCUAGCUGCCUGAAUUUGUUGGAAUCACAUGAUUUAAUAUAAACAUUGCAUAAUGUUAAAUGUGAUUUAAAUGCUUCUCAAGGGAGAAGCAGGGGCACAAAUGUUGCUACAGAGGGCAGGCAAAUGCUAUGUAAAUAAGGGGUAAAAAUUGAGUGUGGGGAGGUUGGGCUAGAGAUGAUAAUGGAUGGAAGAACUGGAGAAGUGCUGGCUGUGGGAGGAUGAGAAGGUGAGUUCAAGUGAUAAGUCAAAGAUGCACACUGGGGCUAUGAAAAGAUGGGUUGUAUUUAGAGAAAAGGAUGGAGUGUCUGACCCCAUUCUCUUUCAAGGUGGAGUGCAUCUUGGAGCUGGGAAAGGAGACGAAGGUGGUAGAAGUGUUAGGAGAGGAGCCUGCGGGUAGGGGAAGUUAAGGAGAGAAUGGGAAAUGUAUUAAUGACUUUGUGGUAUUGAAAUAAAACAGUUCCCUGAUUAAUUCGUUUCCUCCAAUACGACCAAACUCACACCAACACUUUGGCAUGCCACAGAUCACCCCCAAGAGUGACUCCACAGCCAUCAGCCACCAUCCCCACCAUCCCAGGCAGUGGCAGCCAGGCAGAGGAAGUGGUCCAAGAAACCUCCCUGUCUGCAGUUCAGUUUCUACUCAUACUUCUCAUAAAGUCAUGACCCUGGCCAUGAAUCUCCCAUCCCUGGAAACCCAGAAGGACGCUCUCCCUUCUGGACGCAUUCCUCCUCCAGGCAUAACUUCCAACACGAAGGUCAGAAUGAAUGCGAGUCGCCCAGAGCCCCACACCCAGCCCUGGGAAGGGCGAUUCCCUCUGGGAAUUCUGCCAGCACAAUGUUGCCUCAAUUUGAAGACAAAUUUUAAAUUAAUAAAGAAAAAAAAAAGCCUCAGACUCUCACGUCUGCCAAAACACACCAUUCCCUGAAAGGUUCCUGAAAAGGACUCAGUGAUGUACUAUAAAGAAAGCGCCAACCUUCCAUAGCCUUCUCCAGCUGCGAGACGCAGACUGGCGGGUCCUGGAAAGGUAACAGCUCACAGCCGCCUUCCCGGGGGCAGCGCAGUGUUGUUCUUGGAUCGAGAAGACCUUUCAGCUGCCUUACCACCUGUGUAUUUCACAGUCUUGCAGUUCCCUAAACCCCUAUGAACAACACAGAACGAACAGACCCGUGGCCAACAGAAAACCCUGAGAAAAGUACUGGAAGAAAGAGUGUGGUUGGUUUAAGAUAGAAAUGAUGUGAAGGUUGCAGUGCGUGCCCUGCAGUUUUCAAAGCCUGCAUCGCUAAAAUCAUCACAGGAAUAGAAGUGUCCUUGUCAGCUGCUCUUUUCUUUAGCAGAGAAUCUCUCAAACAGCCUCAGGCCACAAAAUCACUUCCUGAGGAACUCUUGGUAACUGAAUGCCUCUCCAAGUAGCAGGGACCCACACACUGGAAU